GUUGAUAGUUCUCUUGAAGACUAUGGGGUGGGAACCUUUAACAGCAAAACCAUGAUAGAAAGCCAACCGUAGCAACUGAGAGAGCUGAGCGGCCUUAGCGAAAUCGCCUUCUUCUCGUACCUUGAGUAUAUGAAACAGGAGAGCCAGACGAAGACGUGUAAGCGCACUUUGCUGGAUGAUGAGUUCAGUUUCUUUCUUUAGCACUUGACAUUCCAUUUCAAUUGCCUUAAAUUUCUCUCGAACCUGUGAUUGUCCUUCUUUGAUGCUUUUUUGCUCCUUGCCAAUCUCUUCGAUAUCUGCCUUUAAUCGUCUGUAUUUGACUUUCAAAUCUUUUGUCCCAUUUUUCUUCUAGCCAUUGAACAAUUACAACGGAAUUCAUUAUUACAAGUUUCGUCAAACUUUAACAUGCGAGUUUAAACCAACAGCAAUACAAAAAUGAGCAUUUUAUCCUGCAUACCUUAUGCCUAUAUAGUAUAUUGAAGCAACUCUUCCUAAGCACCAUCCUGGCAACACGACGACGCAUUGAGAAAAUCCUCAACCUCAUCUCCUUCGAAGGUAGCUGCAAAAACAAUGAAGCAGAGCCAGCAUUUAUAAUAUAGAACAGUUUCCUUGUCCAUUCAGCUGCCCUGCCGAGUUACUUUACUUUGCGCAAGUUUUCCGCAAGCAAACGAACGUAAUCGCGCGAUAACGUUCAUGCUUUAACGUUUUUUUAACUUUUAUUGGCCUUAUGAAAUUUCCUCCUUUUGUGUUUAUAGCCGUAUUAAUUACUUUGAAAUUGUAUGUUGUCUAUCCUUAGAGCUUGUAACCUAGCAAGCCUUUUUUUCUUUGUAACCUGUAGUCAGAGUCAGAAAAAGCUAGCUAUGUCCACAUGCAAGGCAUGUAAUUGUUGUACAGCUGCAUAUUGAAAUUGCAUGGAAGUCGUGCUUGGCGUUCGUCCA